UACGGAGGGGUGCGAGCGUUUGUCCGGAAUCACUGGGCGUAAAGGGCGCGUAGGUGGCCUGUGGAAGUCUGCGGUGAAAGCCCGGCGCUCAACGCCGGGUCGGCCGUGGAUACUCUCGGGCUUGAGCUUACUAGAGGCAGAUGGAAUUCCGGGUGUAGCGGUGGAAUGCGUAGAGAAUCCGGAAGAACACCGGUGGCGAAGGCGGGUCUGCUGGG
rnacentral:rRNA from 1 species